UUUUUAUAAUAUUAUUGUUUGUUUUUGUUAUUUUGUUUAAUUUUUAGAAAAAUGUUAUUUUUUAUUAUUCUUGUUUGAAAAAAUUUGUUUUAUUAUAGUAUAAAGUAUUGAGAAAGAAAUUUUUUAAGGUUUGAUAAGAAAACUUUACUUGUUGUACCUUGUGUAUCAGGGUUGAUUAAAUUAAGAAUUAGUUUUAAUUUUUCCCGAAUUUAAAAGAGCUAUAAUAUUAUAUAUUUUGUUGUGGAAUAAGUAUUUUGAAUUUUAUUAUGGUAAUGAAACGUUAUUCGUUUUUGAAUAUAUCUGGUUUCUUAAGAAAUGAAUUUAAUUUAGUUAUUAAAUAUGAUUUUUUUGAAUUUUUAAUUUGAUUUUUUUAAUAGUUAAUACUUGAGGGGAUAAGCUUUUGAGUAAAUUGUUAUAAGUUUAUGUUUUUUGAUUGAUUUGUAGGAUUGGAAUUUUUCAUCAAUAAAAGGAUGUUUUAAUUUAUCUUUUUUUAAUUUAAUUUAUAUUAACUUUAACUUUUUUAUUAGGAUUUUUUCUUUAAUUGUUUUUGUUUAGGAAUUAUGAUUGAAUUAGUAUAAUUUUAUUGUAUAUAUAAAUAUAAUCUUUAAGGUUGUUUUAAGGAAUUCGGCAAAUUUGAAUUUUCACCUGUUUAUUAAAAACAUGUCCUUUUGAUUUAUAAUUUAAGGUCAGACCUGCCCAAUGAUUAUUUAAAUGGCCGCAGUAUAUUGACUGUGCAAAGGUAGCAUAAUCAUUAGUUUCUUAAUUAGAAGCUGGAAUGAAUGGUUCGAUGAAAAAUUAACUGUCUCAAGACUAAUGUGUUAGAAUUUUAUUUUUGAGUAAGAAAGCUUAAAUUUUUUAAAAAGACGAGAAGACCCUAUAGAGUUUGAUGUUUAAUUAAUAAGAUUUUUAAUGUUUUUUAUAAUAUCUUAUUUUGUAAAGCAUUUUGUUGGGGUGACAUAAAAAUUUGAAAAACUUUUUAUUAUUUAUACAUUAAUUAAUGAUUUUUUGAUCCUAUUUUUUAGAUUAUAAGAUAAAAUUACCUUAGGGAUAACAGCGUAAUUUUUUCUGAAAGUUCUUAUUGAUGAAGAAGUUUGCGACCUCGAUGUUGGAUUAAAAUUUAUUUUUGGUGUAGCAGCUGAAAUAUUAGGUCUGUUCGACCUUUGAAAUUUUACAUGAUCUGAGUUUAAACCGGUGUGAGCCAGGUUGGCUUCUAUCUUUUAUUAGUUAAAAUAUUUUAGUACGAAAGGACCAAGUAUUUGAAUUAUAUUUUGUUAUUUUGAUUAUUAUU
rnacentral:rRNA from 1 species